UAUGUGAUCGUCUCUCGCAUAUCAAUAAGCGGAGGAAAAGAAACUAACUAGGAUUCCCUUAGUAGCUGCGAGCGAACAGGGAAGAGCCCAGCACUGAAUCCCGCGAUUGUAACCGGUCGCCGGGAAAUGUAGUGUUUGGGAGAGUCCGCUAUCCCGAUGUUGUGUGACGCGUCCAAGUCCUUCUUGAACGGGGCCACUUACCCAUAGAGGGUGCCAGGCCCGUAGUGACCGUUGCCGAUAGCGGGAGGACUUCUCCUUAGAGUCGGGUUGCUUGAGAGUGCAGCCCUAAGUGGGUGGUAAACUCCAUCUAAGGCUAAAUAUAACCACGAGACCGAUAGCGAACAAGUACCGUGAGGGAAAGAUGAAAAGAACUUUGAAAAGAGAGUUAAACAGUACGUGAAAUUGUCAAAAGGGAAGCGUUUGACACCAGUGUUGUUUUUCUGAAAAUCAAUUAAAGAACUGUUUAUGCUAAGUUGUUUAGACUUUAUCAGCUAACUGUUUAGUUUUGAGCUUUUCUUUAAUGCACUUUUCAGUUAACAAGUCAACAUCAAUUUCUUUUGCUGUAAAAAAGCUUGAGGAAGGUGGCUUGAGAUUCGUCUUAAGUGUUUAUAGCCUCUUGCCUAUGCAGUCGGAGAGAUUGAGGUCUGCAGCGUAGAUCCUUCGGGGCUAAAUGCAUUUGUGCUAAGUUAUAGCAUUUUAUAGACAACUUGUUGACUAUGAUUUGUCUUGUAGCUUACUCGCUUAUGUUAUUUUACCUACGCUUAGGAUGUUGAGUCAUCACACAUCUCU
rnacentral:rRNA from 1 species